rnacentral:rRNA from 1 species
CACGUAGUUAGCCGGUGCUUUUCUGCAGGUACCGUCACUUUCGCUUCUUCCCUACUAAAAGAGGUUUACAACCCGAAGGCCGUCGUCCCUCACGCGGCGUUGCUGCAUCAGGCUUUCGCCCAUUGUGCAAUAUUCCCCACUGCUGCCUCCCGUAGGAGUCUGGGCCGUGUCUCAGUCCCAGUGUGGCCGGUCACCCUCUCAGGCCGGCUACCCGUCGUAGGCUUGGUGAGCCAUUACCUCACCAACAACCUGAUAGGCCGCGAGUCCAUCCUUGACCAAAUUCUUUCCACAACCAGACCAUGCGGCCAGCUGAAAUAUCCGGUAUUAGACACCGUUUCCAGUGCUUAUCCCAGAGUCAAGGGCAGGUUACUCACGUGUUACUCACCCGUUCGCCACUAAUCCACCCAGCAAGCUGGGCUUCAUCGUUCGACUUGCAUGUGUUAAGCACGCCGCCAGCGUUGUCCUGAGCCAGGACUACAAACUCU